UACAUGCCAGUUGAAUUUUUUCGACUAAUCUGGAAUCAACCGAGGGAAUAUAUUAAAAAGUUCUAUUGUCAAACAUUAAUUUAGAUAUCAUGGUGACGAUUUACGAGACAGAAAAAUGCCAUAACCAAUCAAAAAUGAUAUGCAAGAUACAGAAAAUGUCAUAAUCGAAUAAUAAAGUUAAAAUAAUGUAAGAAUAUUCUCGAUUUACAUUUAACUCUUCAAAAGAAUGCCUUUCACUCCUAUAGUACUAUGUAUAUGA
rnacentral:lncRNA from 1 species